rnacentral:rRNA from 2 species
CGAGCGGAAGGCCCUUCGGGGUACUCGAGCGGCGAACGGGUGAGUAACACGUGAGUAACCUGCCCUAGGCUUUGGGAUAACCCUCGGAAACGGGGGCUAAUACCGGAUAUGACCUUGCCCUGCAUGGGGUUUGGUGGAAAGUUUUUCGGCCUGGGAUGGGCUCGCGGCCUAUCAGCUUGUUGGUGGGGUGAUGGCCUACCAAGGCGACGACGGGUAGCCGGCCUGAGAGGGCGACCGGCCACACUGGGACUGAGACACGGCCCAGACUCCUACGGGAGGCAGCAGUGGGGAAUAUUGCACAAUGGGCGGAAGCCUGAUGCAGCGACGCCGCGUGAGGGAUGACGGCCUUCGGGUUGUAAACCUCUUUCAGCAGGGACGAAGCGCAAGUGACGGUACCUGCAGAAGAAGCACCGGCCAACUACGUGCCAGCAGCCGCGGUAAGACGUAGGGUGCGAGCGUUGUCCGGAUUUAUUGGGCGUAAAGAGCUCGUAGGCGGCUUGUCGCGUCGACCGUGAAAACUUGGGGCUCAACCCCAAGCCUGCGGUCGAUACGGGCAGGCUAGAGUUCGGUAGGGGAGACUGGAAUUCCUGGUGUAGCGGUGAAAUGCGCAGAUAUCAGGAGGAACACCGGUGGCGAAGGCGGGUCUCUGGGCCGAUACUGACGCUGAGGA